rnacentral:lncRNA from 1 species
GUAAUUUUAAAAAUGAUGUAAUUGGGAUUUUUUUCAAUAUCAAACUCCAGUAUUAAAAGUGACAAAAUAAAAAAUCAACAUUAGAUAAAAGACCAAAAUUCACCAUAGGUUCUGAGACCUCUUGAUAAGAUUUUAUUUCCUAAUAGUAGACAAGAGAAGCUGAGAAAUUUGUUAAGGCAUUGUGAUUCCUUUUCUGUGCUCAGACAUUUGGUAAUUUUAGAAUGAAGAAAUGGAUUCUUAAGCCAAAACUGACCUGAAGUUGGGAAGAGGGGACUUGCACUUCCUACUGUUAUGGCAAGACUGCAAUAAAUCACCAAGUCAAUCUUAGAGCAGGAGACAGAACCAUCUUUAUUCACCAGCUGGUGGGUCUAGAUUCACCAGCUGGUGGGCCAAGGGGCAGGCUGCAAGUCUACACCCUCCGACCCCCUCUGGGGGUUUGAGUACACCUUUUAUACCAUAAGGAAAGCAUGUCAGUACGUUAAUCAUAAGUGGCUGUUGCUAGGAUUCAAGACCAUAAACAAACAUCAUGAGAUCUAAAAUCAUAAGCAGAAGGGGAAGUGAGUCAAAAUGACCCUAACUGAAUACAAGUUAAAGAACGGUUACUAACGUCUAGACAAUCAUUCUCUGACAGGGUGCAUUGGUCCAAGAAAAAAUGGGAACAAAAGAGAACAAUUUUACAUUGUAUAAGAAUUGCCAUUUUGUGUUAUGGAACAUGCUAUGCUAAGCUAAGCAACUGCUGAUGGGUACAGAGGUGGGGUGUCCCCAUGGGAGAAGCAUUUCUUACAUGGCAUGGAGUCUCUGGGUAAAAUGCAGUCUGUUUGGUCACUGCCCACAUAGCCUGGCCCAUAACAUUACCCAGUACACGAGAGAGAGACCCUUCUCUACAUUCUGUCCUUGGCUCUGGGUCUUAGGCAUAUCAAGUCCCUGAUGCUGUGGAAAUAGCAGGGAAAAGAAUGAAAUCUGGAGAUGCUGAACAUCUUGGAAAGGGGAUCAGCUAUUAAAGGAGAGUUAGGAAGCAUAGUGUCAGUAUCUGCAUGAUGCAGGUGUCACAGGUAAGAAGAGAAAACUUGUGGAAGAGGAAGAAAGGAUUUUACAAAAUCAGAGAAAGAUGAAAGAUUUCACAUGGAAAGCUAUCAAGAUAAAAAUCAUUUGCUAAGCUAAAUAGGAAAAAUAUCCUAAACAUUAAAGGAUAAUUUAGGAAUAUCAGAACCAAGGGAUAACUCUAAAAUAGUCAAGAGAAUAAAGGUAUUAUCUACAGAUCUCAGGAAUAAGAAAGACCUCAAACUUCUUAACACUAACAUUCAGUUUAAGAAGCAAUGCAAAUAAUGUUUUCAAAGUGUUCAAGGAAAAGAGUCAACCCUAUUUUGUAUCUAUCUAGACUCUCAUUUAAUUCUUAGGGUGAAUAAAGAUAUAAUCUGAUAGAACAAGUUUCACACAUACACACACACAUACACACAUACAUACAACACAUAGAGGAAGUCUCCAGUGAGAAAAAAAAAAUAAAUAAAUAAAUAUAUAUAUAUAUAUAUACACACACACACAGAGGAAGAUUCCACCAGACACAGAAAAUGAGUUUCCAUAUGCAAACUAGU